rnacentral:lncRNA from 1 species
UAAGGCAAUGCAUAUACAUCAGCCUCCGGAAGAUACUGUGCGCGAGGCCAGCUUCCAUAACUCAGGUCAUAGUUGAUAGUUUCAUGCCGCUUACUCUCGUGCCUGUCUCCAUGUUUUUGAAAUAGCCAUUCUUGAUCAUCCAAAUCAGUCUGCUCAGCCUGCAACAGCGGAGGGACCCAGUCCUCUACUAGAGCUUUAUACCGAGAUUCUGCUCUCUGCUUCUUACUUUUGCUUGACCUUGAUCCUUUGCUGGCAUUGGCAUCAUUUUGUACAACAAUUUCAGGCACCUUGGAGGUUGAACAAAGCAAUUGCUGGUCAGGGUUGAGUUUCUGGUCAACAGUACUGGUUCUCAUAGAAAAGAUUGGUGGCGCUUCAAUAGAUUGACCAGAUAUUUCAUACUUUUGUUGGGCAGGUAAAUCCACCCUUCCAGAGGUACUGCAGCUCUCCGCUCUCAGUGAUGCCUCAGGCUCUCUCAGAUUUGUAAGUGGCAUCCAUACUGAGCGGUUCUGUUCUUUUCUGAGUAAUGUUUCAGGUUCUUUGUGCUUUGAUAUAGAGCAGCUCUUCUCUUUGUUGAGUGAUGCCUCAGGUUCUUUGUGCUUUAGAAGUGGCAGCUGCAUAGAACUGCUCUGUUCCUUGCUGACUGAUGCCUCAGGUUCUUUGCGCUUUAGGAGUGGCAGCCGCAUGGAACUGCUGUGUUCCUUGCUGACUGAUGCCUCAGGUUCCUUGUGCUUUAGGAGUGGCAGUCGCAUGGAACUGCUCUGUUCCUUGCCGAGUGAUGCCUCAGGUCCAUAGUCCUUUGGAAGUGGCAGCCGUUCUGAGCAGUUCUGCUCUUUGGUGAGUGAUGCCUCCGGUUCUUUGGGCUUUGGAAGUGGCAGACGUAACCGAAUAAUGUUCCCUGCUUGAUGUUCAUAAUGAUUUAAAAAUUAUUAAGUGCCCGCUGAGGGUUUAAACUAACAGACACAGACAAAGAGAGGGGGAGCCAGAGGAGAAGCAAACAACAUACACCUCUAACAAGUGGAAAAUCACAUACUCACCA